CAAGUUAACACAGUGAAGCAGAAGAUAAGCUGAGCUGGUUGGAGCGACACGUUUAUUUUUUCGGGCGCUGGCUGCUUAGAUCAUCGGACUUUAUUCACGUCAUCCACAGCGCCGAAAAUGAUAUCCUAUUAUCGAAAUUUGGUCACCUCGGUGUAGGCGUAGAAAUCGAGAUGUUAUAUCUUGUUCAAGCAAAACAUAAGAACGAUCCCGGUAUGUGUAGAAUUUGACGAGGAGUUGGCAGUUUUAGAGGCUUUAGGCAUAAACUGAGGCGUAGAUAUAUGAUUUAAAUAAAAUGUUCAAAAUACAUUAAC